UGUUAAAAAUUUCAUCUACUUGUACUAUUAAAAAUUGGCAUGGUCGAUGGAAUAACCAAACAAUGACACAUGACAUGUCACGUAUACCUCAUGCUGACGAUACUAGUUUUAUUAGUAGAAAUGGAUGAAGUUUUUAAUA
rfam:Gossypium raimondii Chr05_contig_22, whole genome shotgun sequence.